CACGCUUUUGAUGAAGUUAUCUAGUAAUUUUAACCCGAUAUGGUCAGAUAAAAUGGCGGACAGACUAACACAACUACAAGAUGCUGUCACACAGAUGUCAGACUACUUCUGCAAUAGUAUUGGGAUUCUGCAACAGAAUCAAACCACUGAGACCAAAGAAGGAGGAGGGGAAAGUAGCACCAACAAUGCAACAUUAUUUGCUUCACUGAUAUCACAAACAGCCACUGACAUUGAGACACUCAUUGAGUCACUCCCUGAUCAGGAAUACACUCCAGAGAAGCAGGAAGAAACUUUGAAGAACCUUGUUGCUGAGAAUCAAGUUUCUGGAGAAAAAUUAAGACAAGUCAUCAAUGAAGCCGAGUCAAUGUUGAAACAAGUCAGACUUAUCAAUAAGACUAUUAGUGAUCAUCAACAUAAACUUACAAAUUAAUUAUGUUUUAUUUUUAAUCACUAUUAGACAUAUACUUUGAUAUAAUUGUCAAUAAUGCAUAAUGCAUUAAAGUAGUGCUUUUCAGGUAUUAUUAUUGAAUAGAUAGCAAGUUAUUCCAUAUCAAAUUUCAUGUGAACUGUCUACAUUAUGUGAACUCAAUUCCUUGUAUUGCUAGCUGCAGCUAUGAAGUUCAAUCCCAAAUGAAUUGACCUGCAAUAGCCUUUACCGUGGGACUUGUCUCUAAGAGCAUGCUUACAGUUCAAUAAAGCAUUUUAAUUGAGUCAAAGCUACACUAUAAAAAAACUUCUCAAGAUCAACAAUUUGAGUGCACCAAAUCACUUACUCUUUAAGGAUGUCUCCAAUCUUCUUGUUGUCUUUGCUACUCAUUGCUAUUGCUUGCAGUGAUGGUGCUACCACUGCAAAGAAAAGAAGUGCAUCAGAUGUCACUAAAUGGCUGGAAAAGAUCGAUAGCAGAUUGCACAGUGAAGGACUAAUGGCUUAUCAGAAUUAUUCUGUGUGCACAAACCAACUCAACAACAUCCUCCCUUUGUAUUGUAACAUAUCAGAGCUUUCUGGUAGAAUAUCUUCACUGCUUGCAUCAUCUUUGUCAAAUGCACAGCUUGAUCAACUCAAUGCUGCCUACUCUCAACUCUGUGUCCCUGAAUGCCUUAAUCCUAUUGAAGGGUACUACAAUUGUCUAAAACUUCAAUUUGAUCACAAAAACUAUCUUGUCACAUUACUUCGUCAAGGUAUCUGUGGACAAGAGCAAGAGAGUGGAGAAUACUGUGGGGUGAUAUACAUUCGUCAAUAUAGAAAUGGUGACCAAGUAGCUGAUUAUUGCACCAAUACAACUAGUGGAAUAGUUUGCAGAGGUGCUUCAUCCAAGUGUCUUGAUCGCGUCAAUAGAUUUAGUAACGAGAUGGGUUGCUGUACACAGCCAUAUCUUGGAUCUGGUGUUACUUCAUGCAGUGGUGUUAAUGUUAGUGAACCUUGUAUUGGAGUAUCCAGUGCCACUGGCCUAGUAGCUCCUGCCAUUGUGAUGCUCUUUGCAUUUGCUAGUUUCUUUGCUUGAAGUUUUGAACACAUUUUAUUAAGCUGAACUCUAACAUUAUAUAGUUUGAUGAGGUAAUUAUAUAGCAUUGAUUUCUAUUCUUUAUACUGAAGUUUUUUAGU
rnacentral:misc_RNA from 1 species